CGGAGGAUGGAAAAGGGGAGGGAUUGAGCAGGGCAAAGGGGAUAGGAAUUGGUAGGAUAGCAGAAGAUGGAAAAUCGUUUUGAGAAGCUUCUCCUAAAUCACCAGCAGCCCACAAGAUGGUAGUUGAGCCCUGCCCUGCUUCUGAGGCUUCCCACUCAGUCCAGUCCAGGGUGUGGGGGACCCUAAUUGAAUCUGAGAUGCCUUGCGGGGAGGAGGAAGAGGAAAUUGGGAUGCAAAUAGGUACUGAAGAUCGUGUGAAGACAGGGAGGAGGUUGUCAUCAGCAAGCCAAGGAGAGAAGCCUCAGAAGACACCAACCCUGCCAACACUGUGACCUCAGACUCCAGCCCCCAGAACUGUGAGAAAUACAUUUCUAUUAUUUAUGUCAAUCUGUGGUCCUCUGCUAUGGCAGCCCUGGUGAACUAACAUACAAUGCU
rnacentral:lncRNA from 1 species